GCGGGUGGGGUUUUACGGGAUCAUAAUGGAGCGUGGAUUGGAGGUUUUGCGGUUAAUAUAGGUGUUUGUUCCGCACCCUUGGCUGAGUUGUGGGGUGUCUACUAUGGGUUAUUCAUCGCUUGGGGGAGGGGAGCUCGGCGGGUUGAAUUAGAAGUAGACUCGAAGAUGGUGGUUGGGUUUCUCACGACAGGGAUUGCGGAUUCUCAUCCCUUGUCAUUCCUAUUACGCUUGUGCUAUGACUUUUUAUCGAAGGGCUGGAUAGUCCGAAUCUCUCAUGUGUAUAGGGAAGCUAAUCGUCUUGCUGAUGGAUUAGCGAACUAUGCUUUCUCGUUAUCCCUAGGUUUGCAUUUGUUGGAGUCUAGACCCGAUGUUGUUAGUUCUAUUUUGUUAGAUGAUGUAGCGGGGGUUUCGUACCCGAGACAUGUCCAAGUGUAAUUUUUUUAUUUUCUUUUAAUAAAACGGGAGACGCAGUCUCCCUCAUUCUACCAAAAAAAAA
rnacentral:sRNA from 1 species